UACGGAGGGAGCUAGCGUUGUUCGGAUAUACUGGGCGUAAAGCGCGCGUAGGCGGCUUUGCAAGUCGGGUGUGAAAUCCCCAGGCUUAACCUGGGAACUGCAUUCGAGACUGCAUUGCUAGAGUAUGGGAGAGGGAAGUGGAAUUUCAGGUGUAGCGGUGAAAUGCGUAGAUAUCUGAAGGAACAUCAGUGGCGAAAGCGACUUCCUGGACCAAUACUGACGCUCAUGGUGCGAAAGCGUGGGGAGCAAACAGG
rnacentral:rRNA from 1 species